AAAACACCGGUUCUCGUUCGAUCACCGAGUUAAGCAUCGUAGAGCCAGGUCAGUACUUAGAUGGGGACCGCUUGGGAACACCUGGUACUGUAAG
rnacentral:rRNA from 1 species